GUCAUCCUCAGACGACGACGGGUAGCCGGCCUGAGAGGGCGACCGGCCACACUGGGACUGAGACACGGCCCAGACUCCUACGGGAGGCAGCAGUGGGGAAUAUUGCACAAUGGGCGAAAGCCUGAUGCAGCGACGCAGCGUGAGGGAUGACUGCCUUCGGGUUGUAAACCUCUUUCAGUAGGGAAGAAGCGAAAGUGACGGUACCUGCAGAAGAAGCGCCGGCUAACUACGUGCCAGCAGCCGCGGUAAUACGUAGGGCGCAAGCGUUAUCCGGAAUUAUUGGGCGUAAAGAGCUUGUAGGUGGCUUGUCGCGUCUGCCGUGAAAACCCGAGGCUCAACCUCGGGCGUGCGGUGGGUACGGGCAGGCUAGAGUGUGGUAGGGGAGACUGGAACUCCUGGUGUAGCGGUGAAAUGCGCAGAUAUCAGGAAGAACACCGAUGGCGAAGGCAGGUCUCUGGGCCAUUACUGACACUGAGAAGCGAAAGCAUGGGUAGCGAACAGGAUUAGGUACCCUGGUAGUCCAUGCCGUAAACGUUGGGCACUAGAUGUGGGGGACAUUCCACGUUUUCCGCGUCGUAGCUAACGCAUUAAGUGCCCCGCCUGGGGAAGUACGGA
rnacentral:rRNA from 1 species